rnacentral:snRNA from 1 species
GUUCUUCCUGGCAGGGGAGAUAUCAUGAUCACAAAGGUGAUUUUCCCAGCGUGAGGCUUAGCCAUUGCACUCCGAAAAGCUAGAUUCUUUUUUUUUUUUUUUGUAGCACAUGGACUUUUUAUUCUUCAUAAAGUGCUCAA